rnacentral:rRNA from 1 species
GCAGUCGAACGAGUUUUGGUCGAUGAACGGUGCUUGCACUGAGAUUCGACUUAAAACGAGUGGCGGACGGGUGAGUAACACGUGGGUAACCUGCCCUUAAGUGGGGGAUAACAUUUGGAAACAGAUGCUAAUACCGCAUAAAUCCAAGAACCGCAUGGUUCUUGGCUGAAAGAUGGCGCAAGCUAUCGCUUUUGGAUGGACCCGCGGCGUAUUAGCUAGUUGGUGAGGUAACGGCUCACCAAGGCGAUGAUACGUAGCCGAACUGAGAGGUUGAUCGGCCACAUUGGGACUGAGACACGGCCCAAACUCCUACGGGAGGCAGCAGUAGGGAAUCUUCCACAAUGGACGCAAGUCUGAUGGAGCAACGCCGCGUGAGUGAAGAAGGCUUUCGGGUCGUAAAACUCUGUUGUUGGAGAAGAAUGGUCGGCAGAGUAACUGUUGUCGGCGUGACGGUAUCCAACCAGAAAGCCACGGCUAACUACGUGCCAGCAGCCGCGGUAAUACGUAGGUGGCAAGCGUUAUCCGGAUUUAUUGGGCGUAAAGCGAGCGCAGGCGGUUUUUUAAGUCUGAUGUGAAAGCCCUCGGCUUAACCGAGGAAGCGCAUCGGAAACUGGGAAACUUGAGUGCAGAAGAGGACAGUGGAACUCCAUGUGUAGCGGUGAAAUGCGUAGAUAUAUGGAAGAACACCAGUGGCGAAGGCGGCUGUCUGGUCUGUAACUGACGCUGAGGCUCGAAAGCAUGGGUAGCGAACAGGAUUAGAUACCCUGGUAGUCCAUGCCGUAAACGAUGAAUGCUAGGUGUUGGAGGGUUUCCGCCCUUCAGUGCCGCAGCUAACGCAUUAAGCAUUCCGCCUGGGGAGUACGACCGCAAGGUUGAAAC